GGAGGGAUCAUCAAAGAAUCACAUAUAAACCAAGUGUUUUGGUUGGUUGUGGGUGGGUGUGAGGGGGGGGAGAGAGAGAGAAAGAUUAGCGUCUCUCUCUCUCUCUCCCUCUCUCUCUCUCUCUCUCUCGCUUUCCAAGCACUUGACAAACAAACGAUCACAACUAGAGAAAAUGAUUUGGCGCGCGCACAUGUCUUGGUAUAUUUCUCGCAAGGGAAAAACAAAAGACAGAUAAAAAGUGUUUGCCUGAUAAUUGGUUGACUUGGAAAUAACAGAAAUACAACUUUCAACAACGGAUCUCUUGGCUCUCACAUCGAUGAAGAACAUAGCAAAGUGUGAAAAUUAAUGUGAAUUGCAGAAUUCAGUGAAUCAUUGAGUUUUUGAACGCAUCUUGCACUCCUUGGUAUUCCAGGGAGUAUGCCUGGUUGAGCAAUGUGAACAUAUCUAUCAGUUUUACUCUUUUCGAGAGAGAGGAGAAAAGACUGGAGUUGAGUGGUUUACCUUGUCUUGUUUGUGUGUGGCAUGUGCUGUGUGUGUGUGCUGUGUGUGAGAUUUUGGUUGGCUUUUUUGGUCAAUCUCAAUCUUGCGUGCAGUCACCCCCAGUCAAGUCAGGCGAAACAAGAAAGCAAGGUUCACUUGAAAUGAAGAGAGAGAGAGAGAAACAACAGGGCUUGAUAACAAAAAAGAGACAAGCGAGAGAACCUCCUUUGGGAGGCGAUCAAGAGAAUUGGCUUGAUAAUAACAAUGACUUGAUGAAUGAGAGAAACAACACCCAUAUCUGCCUGCCUGCGAGUCAAAUCGUGGUGUGGGGUUUUAUAUGAGGUUGGAUCGUUUGUUUUUUCAAAGUCUUGUUUAGAGUCUCUUUUCUGCGAAUCUCUUCAAGAACCCCUUGGUUGCGUGUCUUUCUUACAACUAGGAAUGUGUGGCUGGGAAAAGAGAUAUAUAUAUACAUAUAUUCUCAUCCCACCCACCACCAUCAUCAUCAUUCUCAACUCAGGCAAGACUACCCGCUGAAUUUAAGCAUAUAAAUAAGCGGAGGAAAAGAAACUAACAAGGAUUCCCUUAGUAACUGCGAGUGAAGCGGGAAAAGCUCAACUUUGAAAUCUACCAAGAGUAACAUUCUUGGUCGAAUUGUAGUUUCAAGAAAGAGUGGCUGAGAGAAGUCAGUUGGGUGCAAGUUCCUUGGAAUGAGACAUCAGAGAGGGUGACAAUCCCGUCCACCGUCCUUCUGUUUGCUUCUCACCAAAGGCCCUCUUUUCAAAGAGUCGAGUUGUUUGGGAUUGCAGCUCAAAAUGGGUGGUAAAUUUCAUCUAAAGCUAAAUAUGGGUGAGAGACCGAUAGCGAACAAGUACCGUGAGGGAAAGAUGAAAAGCACUCUGAAGAGAGAGUGAAAAGUACGUGAAAUUGUUGAAAGGGAAACGCUUGAAACCAGUCAAGGUUUGCUAGAUUUCAGGAGAGUCGAUGUGUUGGGCGGAGUUGGAUGUGGAGAUUGAUCUUUCAUGGUCGACUCUGCGCUGGCUCCAGCUUGGCCAUACUUUCUGUACGUUUCUAGCAAACAAGUCAGCAUCAGUUUGUUGCUUGGGAAAAAGCGAAUGGGAUUUGGUCGGGCUUUCAAUGGGCUUCGGCCCUUGAAGGUUUGGAGCCUGUUUAGCAUUAUACCAAGCGCCAGACUGAGGACUGCAGUACGGGGCAUUGACUUGGAAUAGGCUGGCCUGUGGUGCCGCCUUGGGUAAACAGCUUGCUGAUUGCUCAGGGUGCUGUCACUCGGGACUGCCCAAUCCAAGCUGGCCUGCCGACUUUGGAUGUUGACGAAAUGGUUUUAAACGACCCGUCUUGAAACACGGACCAAGGAGUCUAACAUGGAUGCAAGUAUUUGGGUGAUUGGAAACCCAUAUGCGCAAUGAAAGUGAACUCUUGAUAGGUAGGACGCUGGGGGGAGAGAGGCCCUUUGCGGGGCCCCCCUCUCUCUAGCCGCACUAUCGACCAAUCUUAUAUAGCUUCGGCUUGCUAGAUUUGAGUAAGAGCAUGCAUGCUGGGACCCGAAAGAUGGUGAACUAUGCCUGAAUAGGGUGAAGUCAGACGAAAGUCUGAUGGAAGCUCGUAGCGAUUCUGACGUGCAAAUCGAUCGUCAAAUUUGGGUAUAGGGGCGAAAGACUAAUCGAACCAUCUAGUAGCUGGUUCCUGC
rnacentral:misc_RNA from 1 species